rnacentral:rRNA from 1 species
GACGAACGCUGGCGGCGUGCUUAACACAUGCAAGUCGAACGAUGAAGCUGGAGCUUGCUCCGGUGGAUUAGUGGCGAACGGGUGAGUAACACGUGAGCAAUCUGCCCUUGACUCUGGGAUAACUGCGGGGAACUGUACCUAAUACCGGAUACGAGGCUCGAAGGCAUCUUCGGGUCUGGAAAGAAUUUCGGUCAAGGAUGAGCUCGCGGCCUAUCAGCUUGUUGGUGAGGUAAUGGCUCACCAAGGCGACGACGGGUAGCCGGCCUGAGAGGGUGACCGGCCACACUGGGACUGAGACACGGCCCAGACUCCUACGGGAGGCAGCAGUGGGGAAUAUUGCACAAUGGGCGAAAGCCUGAUGCAGCAACGCCGCGUGAGGGAUGAAGGCCUUCGGGUUGUAAACCUCUUUUAGCAGGGAAGAAGCGAAAGUGACGGUACCUGCAGAAAAAGCACCGGCUAACUACGUGCCAGCCGCCGCAGUAA